UGUGGGAAACUUGUGAUUCUUUUGUGACAUUAUUUACCUAUUUUCUCACAAUAUGUAAUACGUGUUUGUGAUUAAGUGUCGUAUCUUUUUUACCCUACAAGAGUCCUCAGAGCCAUGGAUUGUUGCGGAAUCAGGGAACUUCUGUUUAAGGCCCUCCUGAGUCAGAUCCCAGCGCCACCAGAUCAUCCCCUGCACUUCAUUCUGGCCAGUGUCCCAGUCUCAGAGGUGGUCGUGGUUCAGUGCCUUCCUCUGGUGUUUUUCUACGUGCACAGUAGCGUGUUGGACCUACGCAUGGCUGCAAAAAAAAAAAAAAAAAAACACGCCACUCUUUUACCACAGAAGCAUUCAGUUCACCAAUGACGCCAAACUUUCCGGUGAGUUUCUAUUUCCGUGUCUGGUGGUGAAUUAGUUUAUCAGCAAGCACUUUGGCGUCUAUAUGGCGUC